rnacentral:rRNA from 1 species
GAUGAACGCUGGCGGCGUGCCUAAUACAUGCAAGUCGAGCGAAUGGAUUAAGAGCUUGCUCUUAUGAGGUUAGCGGCGGACGGGUGAGUAACACGUGGGUAACCUGCCCAUAAGACUGGGAUAACUCCGGGAAACCGGGGCUAAUACCGGAUAACAUUUUGAACCGCAUGGUUCGAAAUUGAAAGGCGGCUUUGGCUGUCACUUAUGGAUGGUCCCGCGUCGCAUUAGCUAGUUGGUGAGGUAACGGCUCACCAAGGCAACGAUGCGUAGCCGACCUGAGAGGGUGAUCGGCCACACUGGGACUGAGACACGGCCCAGACUCCUACGGGAGGCAGCAGUAGGGAAUCUUCCGCAAUGGACGAAAGUCUGACGGAGCAACGCCGCGUGAGCGAUGAAGGCUUUCGGGUCGUAAAACUCUGUUGUUAGGGAAGAACAAGUGCUAGUUGAAUAAGCUGGCACCUUGACGGUACCUAACCAGAAAGCCACGGCUAACUACGUGCCAGCAGCCGCCGCAG